UCCCCAGUGGUUCAGUGGUAAAGAAUCUGCCUGCAAUGCAGGAGAUCCAGGUUUGAUCCCUGGGUCAGGAA
rnacentral:tRNA from 1 species